CUUGUGCCAGCACAGCGAGGGUCUGAACGGGACACAAAACCACAAUCAGACCUCUUCUGCGUUGAUCCAUCGAGAUGUCCUUCUGAAAAUAGCCUGCAGAGAGGAAGAAGGGAGGAAGGAAGCAGAAAGGAGGGGCCUUGACCACUAUGAAAACCCAUCUAUUUCAGAAGUCCACAGGUUUCAAACCUGGUUCUGAAUUACACCCUUUACCCUACACAGCUUUCUCCUGCAAUAACAAACAUGAUCCAAAUCAGCAGCUAAUGAGAAGCCUUGCUGAGUUGAACUGGAUAUGUUAGAUAGAGUUCAUGAUUUCCUUCAGCAAGCCCUUCAUCCUAGUCCAGGUUGGAGUGGAACCAGAGGUAUACUGGGUGUGAGGCGGAAAUACACUCCGGAUGAGUAAACAUUUCAUCACGAAGCAUAACAAACACCAAAUUAGACUGGCCAGGCUGCCUAAUGGAAUGUGUGAAGAAGGAAUACACCCUGGACAUGAUGCCAGUCCACACUAGCUCUUCUGCUAUGGCUUGGAAUAUCAGUACUUUUGGAAUUUGGCACAUGGUUUUCACAAUUUAUCUUUUGGGGCUUUUACCUUUUUGAAGCAUAUUUUUAAAAUAAACCCGGCACUUGGGUCUAAUUUCUGUGUAACAAAUUGUAGAAAGUGCAGUAGGUUUUAUUCUUCCUUGCACUGCAGUUCUGUAAAAUUGACAAAGUGAAUACUAAAAUCUGAACACAGCAAUUUAUUUAAAAAAAAAAAAAAUUGUACAAAUCCUUUUCUAUCCAGUCUUUUGAUUGCAGUUCAUACUGUAGAACUGGUAUGAGAGUUGGGAUGGAAGUGGAGCCUGUACUGGGAUUACCAGGCGUGAGGCGAGAAUACACCCAGGAUGGGAUGCCGGUCCAUUUGGAUAGCGGUCCGUGGAUUUAGUGACGGUCUGGCUUAUCAAGCUGUAGACUAAUACUUUUGAUCUUGGCUCAUGGUUUUCACAGUUUGUUUUUUCUGCUUGUU